ACAAACUUGGUCAUUUAGAGGAAGUAAAAGUCGUAACAAGGUUUCCGUAGGUGAACCUGCGGAAGGAUCAUUAGAGAAAGUAAGAUGAUAGUUGGGGGAGCUGUUCACCCGGCGGUGAAGCAGCAGGUCUGUAAUAAUUGAGACUGUAAAUCAUUUAUUAUUAUUCAUUUACAAUUUACGAGUUACCAUUCCUAUUAACUAACAUACAUGAGCACCUCGUCGCAAUGGAUCUCUCGGCUCUUGCAUCGAUGAAGAACGCAGC
rnacentral:misc_RNA from 1 species